rnacentral:rRNA from 1 species
GUGGGGAAUAUUGCACAAUGGGCGAAAGCCUGAUGCAGCAACGCCGCGUGGAGGAAGAAGGCCUUCGGGUUGUAAACUCUUGUCUUCUGGGACGAUAAUGACGGUACCAGAGGAGGAAGCCACGGCUAACUACGUGCCAGCAGCCGCGGUAAUACGUAGGUGGCGAGCGUUGUCCGGAUUUACUGGGCGUAAAGGAUGCGUAGGCGGAUAUUUAAGUGGGAUGUGAAAUACCCGGGCUUAACCUGGGUGCUGCAUUCCAAACUGGAUAUCUAGAGUGCAGGAGAGGAAAGCGGAAUUCCUAGUGUAGCGGUGAAAUGCGUAGAGAUUAGGAAGAACACCAGUGGCGAAGGCGGCUUUCUGGACUGUAACUGACGCUGAGGCAUGAAAGCGUGGGGAGCAAACAGGAUUAGAAACCCUAGUAGUCC